GGAACAUAAAUUUGAUAUGAAGCCUCAUAGUGAAAAUCUUGAAAUGUAUGGGAAAUUGUGCCGUGAAAGGACAAACAAAUCCAUGGUUAAGAAUAGACAAAUCCAAGUGAUAGACAAUGACCGUGGAGUGCAUAUGAGGCCUAUGCCUGGCAUGGUUGGUUUGAUCAGUUCAACUUCAAAGGAAAAGAAGAAGGUGGCGCCAGUUAAACAAUCAGACGUGAAAAGAACUAGAAGAGAUCGUGGGGAACUAGAAGAUAUAAUGUUCAAGCUAUUUGAAAGACAGCCGAAUUGGGCCCUAAAGCAGCUAGUCCAAGAGACUGAUCAACCUGCACAAUUCCUGAAAGAGAUACUGAAUGAGCUUU
rnacentral:misc_RNA from 1 species